rnacentral:rRNA from 1 species
GAUGAACGCUGACAGAAUGCUUAACACAUGCAAGUCUACUUGAAGCUAGCUUCGGCUAGUGGAGGGUGGCGGACGGGUGAGUAACGCGUAAAGAACUUGCCUCACAGACUGGGACAACAUUUGGAAACGAAUGCUAAUACCGGAUAUUAUGAAUUUCCCGCAUGGAAGAGACAUGAAAGCUAUAUGCGCUGUGAGAGAGUUUUGCGUCCCAUUAGCUAGUUGGAGAGGUAACGGCUCACCAAGGCGAUGAUGGGUAGCCGGCCUGAGAGGGUGAACGGCCACAAGGGGACUGAGACACGGCCCUUACUCCUACGGGAGGCAGCAGUGGGGAAUAUUGGACAAUGGACCAAAAGUCUGAUCCAGCAAUUCUGUGUGCACGAUGAAGUUUUUCGGAAUGUAAAGUGCUUUCAAUUGGGAAGAAGCAAGUGACGGUACCAACAGAAGAAGCGACGGCUAAAUACGUGCCAGCAGCCGCGGUAAUACGUAUGUCGCAAGCGUUAUCCGGAUUUAUUGGGCGUAAAGCGCGUCUAGGUGGUUAUAUAAGUCUGAUGUGAAAAUGCGGGGCUCAACUCCGUAUUGCGUUGGAAACUGUAUGACUAGAGUACUGGAGAGGUAAGCGGAACUACAAGUGUAGAGGUGAAAUUCGUAGAUAUUUGUAGGAAUGCCGAUGGGGAAGCCAGCUUACUGGACAGAUACUGACGCUAAAGCGCGAAAGCGUGGGUAGCAAACAGG